rnacentral:rRNA from 1 species
ACUCCUACGGGAGGCAGCAGUGAGGAAUAUUGGUCAAUGGGCGCAAGCCUGAACCAGCCAUGCCGCGUGCAGGAUGACGGGUCCUAUGGAUUGUAAACUGCUUUUGUACGGGAAGAAACACUCCUUCAGUGAAGGAGCUUGUACGGGUACCGUAAGAAUAAGGAUCGGCUAACUCCGUGCCAGCAGCCGCGGUAAUACGGAGGAUCCAAGCGUUAUCCGGAAUCAUUGGGGUUUAAAGGGUCCGUAGGCGGUUUUAU